rnacentral:lncRNA from 1 species
CCUCUCUGACAGCUGAGUCUAAAAGACCAGAAAGAAUAGAGGUAGAAUAACAGGAAACAUGUUACCGUAGCAAACGAGGAAAUUCACAUGUAUGCAGGCUAUGAUGGAAACCACCGUAUUCUUACAGCCUACAAAAUAAACAGAGAAGAGGUCCUCUCUUGCUCUCUUCCCAGGGCCAUCAUUCCCCUGGCUCCAUUCAUUCCCCUCUGACUUCUCUUCACGGGCAUUUGUCAGUAUGAUUCUCACAAACUACUCCUUGUUGACGGAAACUCCAUUUUCCAUACCCAAGAAAACAUUCUCCAAGGUUAAAGGACCGUCAUAUGGAUCUUCCUAGUGUUUUACAACCUGAAAUCUGAUUGUUCAACAUCUGCCCUUUUAUAUCUUUUAACUGUUCUCGUUAAUAUAUACCCAGAGUAAAAAUAAUCCAAACAAGACAGAAAAGGACAAGAGAAUAAGAAUCAUCUGAAACCCACCAUUCAUAAAUGACCGCUUUUAAUGUUUUGAUGGACAUCCUUCCAUAAAUACACAUAGUAGAUUAGCCCUGAGCUAACUACUGCCAGUCCUCCUCUUUUUUGCUGAGGAAGUUUGGACCUGAGCUAACAUCGUGCCCAUCUUCCUCUACUUCAUAUGUGGGACGCCUACCACAGCAUGGUGUGCCAAGCAGUGCCAUGUCCACACCUGGGAUCCGAACUGGCGAACCCCGGGCCGCUGAGAAGCGGAACGUGUGAACUUAACCGCUGCGCCACCAGAUAAAGAAAGGCCCGAGAGGUGAAAUGAUUUGCCUCAAGUCUCAGAGCCAGGAUUCCAGCCAUCCUGACUCUAAGCCUGCUGCUGUUGGCACUCCACUGUACCAGCCUCUUUCUUCUAAUUAAGGGUGCUAGGUCUCAGUACUCUUUUUCAAAUCUCCA